GGAGCUUGCUCCCUUAGGUCAGCGGCGGACGGGUGAGUAACACGUGGGUAACCUGCCUGUAAGACUGGGAUAACUCCGGGAAACCGGGGCUAAUACCGGAUGCUUGAUUGAACCGCAUGGUUCAAUCAUAAAAGGUGGCUUUUAGCUACCACUUACAGAUGGACCCGCGGCGCAUUAGCUAGUUGGUGAGGUAACGGCUCACCAAGGCGACGAUGCGUAGCCGACCUGAGAGGGUGAUCGGCCACACUGGGACUGAGACACGGCCCAGACUCCUACGGGAGGCAGCAGUAGGGAAUCUUCCGCAAUGGACGAAAGUCUGACGGAGCAACGCCGCGUGAGUGAUGAAGGUUUUCGGAUCGUAAAACUCUGUUGUUAGGGAAGAACAAGUACCGUUCGAAUAGGGCGGCACCUUGACGGUACCUAACCAGAAAGCCACGGCUAACUACGUGCCAGCAGCCGCGGUAAUACGUAGGUGGCAAGCGUUGUCCGGAAUUAUUGGGCGUAAAGCGCGCGCAGGCGGUUUCUUAAGUCUGAUGUGAAAGCCCCCGGCUCAACCGGGGAGGGUCAUUGGAAACUGGGGAACUUGAGUGCAGAAGAGGAGAGUGGAAUUCCACGUGUAGCGGUGAAAUGCGUAGAGAUGUGGAGGAACACCAGUGGCGAAAGCGACUCUCUGGUCUGUAACUGACGCUGAGGCGCGAAAGCGUGGGGAGCGAACAGGAUUAGAUAC
rnacentral:rRNA from 1 species